AACUUCAGUGUCAGUAAAUAAGUGGAGUAGGCCCCAGAGUUAUAUGAACACAUUGCCUAUGAAGAAUAGAUGCCCGAUGUCUCUAUUGUUCUUUCUUUUGUACACGUUUAUGGGAUGCUCUAGAAUGCAGUGACUUAUGAGGACGUGCAUGUGAACUUCACUCGAGAGGAGUGGGCUCUGCUGGAUCCUUCUCAGAAGAAGCUCUACAAAGAUGUGAUGCUGGAGACCUACAGGAACCUCAACGCUAUAGGAUUUAAUUGGGACGAGAAACAUAUUCAAGAACAUUGUCCAAGUUCUAGAAGACACAGAAGGUAUCCUUGAAGAUGAAAACCAACCCAUAAUGAUGGGGUAACAGCAUGAAUAUAAGCAAAGUGAUAAAAAUCUUAAGAUCUGAUUCCUCUUUAUAUUUAGACAAAUAGUACCAUUAAAUCAUACAGAUGAAAGUAUUCAUCAGUUUGAUAAAGCUUUCACAUGUGCCAAUUUUUUUCUCAGGCAUGAAAGAAGUCAGAGUGCAGAGAAAGCGUCUGAAUAUACUCAAUGUGAUAAAAUCUUUUUUUUAUGCUCACAGUCAUGCUCAAAGGCAUGAAAGAAUUCAUACAGAAAUGAACCCCCUUGGAAUUAUUCAAUUUGUUGAAACCUUUGCUCAACAUCGUCUCCAACUUCAUAAAGAGCACAAACUGGAAAGAAACUCUAUGAAUGGAAGCAAUGUAGUAAAGCCUUUGAAGAUCAAGUCAUCUUAAAAGCUAUGAAGGAAUUCAUACGGGAGAGAAACCUUAUGAAUGUCAUCAGUGUGAAAAAGCCUUUUCAAGUCACAGUAAUCUCCUACAACCUAAACGGACACAUACUGGAGAGAAAUGCUAUGAAUGUGAUCUGUGUGGUAAAGCCUUUUCACAACAUAGUCGGCUUAAAAGGCAUGGAAGAAUUCAUACUGGAGAGAAACCCUACAGAUGUAAUAACUGUGAGAAAGCCUUUUCACAACAAAUUCACCUCCAGUCACAUAGAAGAAUUCAUACUGGAGAGAAACCCUACAAAUAUAAUAAAUGUGAGAAAGCCAUUUUACAACAUUAUAACCUCCAAAGUCAUAAAAGAAUACAUAUUGGAUAGAAACCCAAUGAAUGUGGUCUGUGUGUGAAAGCCUGUAUAAGUCAAUGGUAUCUUCAAAAGCAUAAAAAAAAAUUCAUACUGUAGAGAAAGCUUAUGAACAUAUAUAAUAUGGUAAAAUCUACAAAUAUCCAUAGUCUUAAUCAUCAUGCACAUAUUUGUAUUGGCAAGAAAUCCUCUGAAUAUUAACUGUGUGAUAAAACCUAUUUCAACACACUUAUCUCCUAAUGCAUCAAUGAGCACAUACUGGGGAGACAGAGGUGUGAGGAACUUAUGAAUGUAUACAAUGUGGUAAAAGUCCAUGCUGCAGGGAAGCCCUACAAAUGUAGUCAUUCUGAUAAAAUUUUGCACUUCACAGUAUGUUUCUGUAAGAGGAAAGUCAUUAGCUUAUACUAAAUCUGUUAAUGUUUGCAUGUCACAGUAAUUUUUCAACUUCUAAGAACUCAUAAGUAGGGCAGUCUAUGACUCUGAUGGCCUUGGUACGAUCUUUAGCCAGUCCACUUACAUUAAGUUACACAAAAUUAUUUAUUCCUGAGAAAAUCUCUAGCAAGUGUCAACUAUCUGCUCAAAUAUGAUGAUGUGUCUUUUUUUUUUUAACAUGUAAAUUCAUAGGUUCAAAAGCCCUUUCAAUUUCAUUGAUAAGGUACUGGUUUAAAUUUCACAGCUCAUUAAAUUUCACAGUCCAUUAAAUAACUCAUUCAUGUGUCAAACUUUGGGUGCAUAUUUGUGUGUUUUCUGUUAAUAUGAUAAAACAUUUUAAGUACUGUAGAAAAAUCCCAAACCAUGGUUUCCACCCCAUCUUUGGCCAUUUGUUUUUCAGGUAAAAGACAUACAGCCUUUAUACUAAGCCUUGAUCAGCACAUGAGCUUGGCAGAUAUUUAUCCUCUAUGCUAUUAUGUCUAUUUCCCAGCCAAUGAUUUCAUCCUAGAAUUUGCCUUGCUUCAUCUAGGCUACGCUUUGUCUGUGGCUAUGUGUGAUUGUGUGAAUGCUGAUUUCCAAGAAAAUUAAGCUGUUGUAUAGCAGAAAAUAUAGGAAGAUGUAAAACCCUGACCUGGUUUCAGGGAAUAAACUUUUCUUAAUUGCUUGGCCAUGUGUCUAGGCAUGUAAAUAUUUUACAGUGUUUUACAUCAUCUUGAUGUCAGAAAAUUGAAAACACUUAUACAAGAGAAAAACCCUAUGUAUGUUGAUGAUCUCAUUAUAGACUGUAGACACCACAGUUGUUUUUGAUAUUAAGGAAAAAACUCUGUUUCAUUUCUUCUUCAUCAUGGCCUUGAAAGAAGUAAAUUAUUUCCCAUGUUCAGACACAAAUGUACUUCAGUUUAGAGGGCUGAGAAACAGGCCAGUGAUUUCACUGCAUGUGUUAAGGUACUUAUCUCAGUAGCUAACAUUGCUCAUAGGGGCGAGUUAAAACCCUGUCUUCUUAACAGCAUUCCGGAAUGCUCUCCUUUUUUUUGAAAAUUGGUGGAGAUAUGUGAGAACUUUUCAAUGAUGUUUAUCUUUUUAAAGAGUUAAUAAUUGAUUUCACUUUUUUGUUUGUUUGUUUGUGUUUUCAAGACAGGAUUUCUCUGUGUGGUCCUGACUGUCCUGGAACUCACUCUGUAGACCAGGCUGACCUCGAACUCAGAAAUCCACCUGCCUCUGCCUCCCAAGUACUGGGAUAAAGGCGUGUGCCACCACCGACCAUGAUUUCAAUUUUUGAAUGUGAUUUUCUUUAAAUCUAUCUCUAAUAUUGUCUCUUAAUUGUUUUCAUUCUCCAGUACUUCCCAGUCAUUAAAAAUUUCUUUUCAUUUUUAAAGAGUGCUGUUGAUUAUUUAUUUCUGUUUAGAGCAUUAUCUCCUGGACCAUAGGCUGGCUCAUUCUCUGUAAUUUAGAAUUAAUUUGAACUUUCAAUCCUGUCUCUGCUGCCACAAGCUCGGGUGUCAGUCCUGCACCUCUCCCAGCCUCGGCCUUGACUGCAUUGAAAGGAAAGAUAGGCCAGUGAAUGGUUGCCGUCCAACUUCUGUUUUCUGUUGGGACUGUCCAAUGAAGCUGCACCUGUGCAAGAAUUGAAUUUUGUGACCAACUUUGAGAUAUGUUUAGUCACAGCCCAGAAAGGUUUUAAGAUGAUCAUCCUGAGGGCUGGCAAUAUGACUCAGUGGGUAAGAGCACUGACUGCUCUUAUGAAGGUCCUGAAUUCAAAUCCUAGCAACAUGGUGGCUCACAACCACCCGAAGUGAGAUCUAACACCCUCUUUUGGUGCGUCUGAAGUCAGCUACAGUGUACUUAUUUAUAAUAAUAAAUAAAUCUUAAAAACAUAAAAAAGAUCCUCCUGAGAG
rnacentral:lncRNA from 1 species